CAAAGCCACAUCUGCUGCUUCUCUCACUGAGACUCCCCACUUCAACUCCCCUGAAAUUCCUGAUCUAAAAUUAAACAAGUGAAAAUAAGUAAACCUGUGAGACAAUUUGGAAUCGUAAUGGCCGUUCUGGGGAGCCUCUGUUUCAGAUAGCCAAGACUGAGGAUCCAGAACGAGAAGCACGACUUUAGAAGCUGCUUCUGGAACAUGCCGGGUUCGUGCUUCCACCGCUAGCUUUUCAGCAGCAACCGAAAUCAGUUCUUCCCUGCUCUGGGCACUGCCCACGGUCCCACUGCCACCAAGCUUCCCUCUGCCACACCACUCUCCACCACGGGAGCAACUCAAGCCCGGCAGCGCCAGCGGUGGGGAGAGCAGCUCCCAGGGCCUCUGAAGGAGGACUGCAUGCCUUCCUGUGGAGGGAGCCAGCGGGUGCACCACGACUUCAUCAGGCAGCCGGCUCUGGUUUCCUUUCCUGGCUGCAAUCUGGAGGAGGGGUGCCGGUCAGACUUAGGGGUGACUGUGAAACCAGGACCUGAAAGUGUUUGAG
rnacentral:lncRNA from 1 species